CCCCCUUUUUCCAUGGAUGCCACCAGAAAACUACAGCAGUUAGGCCAUUUUGGGGGCAUUGCUGUUAGGGAAAGAAAAUUAUAUCAUCUUAGAUCAACAGGUGAUGAUCAGAUGGAGGAACAAGUGAAUACCAGAAAUUCUAGUAAGAAACCAGAGUCCAUCCUGGUAAGUCAUCCACGGCAAGAACUGUGAAGGAAUCCAUUCAGCUUCGCAUCACUGUGACUAAAAUAACUACGAGGACAACUUAGAGGAGAAAAAGUUCAUUUGGGGAUCAUGGCAUCAGAGGCCCAAUGCACAAUUGGCUGACUCCAUUGCUCUGGACCUAAGAUGAGGCAGCAAAUCUUGGCACAAAUUCGUGGUGGUGGAGCGCUGCUCUAUUCAUGGUGACCAGGAAACAAAAGGAAAAAGGCAACAGGGAAAGAAUCCUCUGAAUUUAUGUUAAAAAUAAUCAAGUAACUUCAAAUGGAGCUGUUUUGUAUCUUGAAAGAUGGCACAGUACAUGGUAGCAGUAAAUUCUUUGGUUGGAUUUCAAAAAUACUUAAAAAUUACCAUUACUCAGAAACUUAAGGAAUGAACAAAAAACUUGAAAGAUUUAUAGCAACUCAAAGUCCCAUCUAAAAUUAUCAAUUAUUUUCCUCCAAAUUCUCUAUAAAUGAAAACACAAAAAGUAGUUUGGAUGGGAAGACUUAAAUAUCUGCAUGGAAAAUGUGGGGAUGUAAAUAAAAUAAUUAAUCUAAA